ncrna:unclassified sequences Glutamine-II riboswitch (downstream peptide RNA)
CAACGUUCACCUCUCCUUGCGGGAGGCGCAGACAAGCCAGGCCAUGGAACGGGGACCUGGA